GCAUUCUGGGGACUGUCUUGGCUUUUGGUUGCUUGCUUGGCUUUUCGCUGGGUGGGUCGCUUCUAGUCGGGUGGUUUUCGGGAAUGUCGACCGUAAAGGUGCAUGAGUGGUGUUUGGUUUGUUACGGGUGGUUGGCUGUCUGCUUGCGCAGCAACGUCCACGCGUGCAUACCUCUUUAGUUUUGCAUCAAGGCUUCGAUUGCCUUGAGCGUCUUGUGGGUUUCCUGUGUUGCAUACCUAAUCGAUGGUAACGGGUUGCUUUAUGAUGUGCCUUUUCAUCAUGCAUCGCUCAUGCGGUGUGGGAUGAACCUUGAAGCGAUCUUUGUAGUCCAUCUUGUCGUUCCAUUUUCAACGAUGAUGUGGCGUAUGAAGUAUUGCUUGGUCUCUUGUAUACGGAACCUGAUGUGGGCAUGGGUCUUACAAGACCUUGAAUCUGCCCUCGUUAAGCGUUUUCGCUUCUCCAAAACGAUUGUCUGCCAUGUCUUGGCUUGUCCUUGCAUGGUAGGCUACGUCGA
rnacentral:misc_RNA from 1 species